CAGGGAUCCCGUAGAAAGGAAGAGGCAAUGCUUGAGGUCCGCGGUCAAGUGAACUGGCUGUGCGUGUGUUCAUUUAAUUUGAAAACAGGUCAAAUUGCGUUUUUUCCGUUCGCGGUACUAGAGGUUGAAAACGAGGUCUCGUGUAUGCUAGGGAAGCUCUCUAACAAAGACCUUUACUUGAAGCUACGUCCCGCCCCCUUUUGAUACAAAAAAGCUUCAACACUGCAACCUGGAGCAGGACUACACCAGCUUUUCCUCUGGCUCAUCAGACAGUAGCUCUCCAACAUGACAUCUGCAGCUCCCAUUACAGAGGGGAGAGCCAGCAGUGCCACAGAGAGCUAUUUUACCUGCUGCUAAUCAAACCUAAACCUUCCCAAAGUGACAGCUCCUAAUCACAGUUGUUCUAAAACGACAGGGUCUCACCUCUGGCUGCCCUGGAACUCACCAUAUAGACCAGGUUGGCUUGAAACUCAGAGAUCCCCUGCCUCUGCUCUGCAUCUCAAGUCCUCAGAUCAAAGGUGUGCACAACCAUGCCCAAGCUAUGAGUUAAUGUCUUUAAGAGGGUGAAG
rnacentral:lncRNA from 1 species